rnacentral:rRNA from 1 species
UAUUGGGCGUAAGAGCUCGUAGGCGGUUUGUCGCGUCUGCCGUGAAAGUCCGGGGCUCAACUCCGGAUCUGCGGUGGGUACGGGCAGACUAGAGUGAUGUAGGGGAGACUGGAAUUCCUGGUGUAGCGGUGAAAUGCGCAGAUAUCAGGAGGAACACCGAUGGCGAAGGCAGGUCUCUGGGCAUUAACUGACGCUGAGGAGCGAAAGCAUGGGGAGCGAACAGGAUUAGAUACCCUGGUAGUCCAUGCCGUAAACGUUGGGCACUAGGUGUGGGGGACAUUCCACGUUUUCCGCGCCGUAGCUAACGCAUUAAGUGCCCCGCCUGGGGAGUACGGCCGCAAGGCUAAAACUCAAAGGAAUUGACGGGGGCCCGCACAAGCGGCGGAGCAUGCGGAUUAAUUCGAUGCAACGCGAAGAACCUUACCAAGGCUUGACAUGGACCGGACCGCCGCAGAAAUGUGGUUUCCCCUUUGGGGCCGGUUCACAGGUGGUGCAUGGUUGUCGUCAGCUCGUGUCGUGAGAUGUUGGGUUAAGUCCCGCAACGAGCGCAACCCUCGUUCCAUGUUGCCAGCGCGUAAUGGCGGGGACUCAUGGGAGACUGCCGGGGUCAACUCGGAGGAAGGUGGGGACGACGUCAAAUCAUCAUGCCCCUUAUGUCUUGGGCUUCACGCAUGCUACAAUGGCCGGUACAAAGGGUUGCGAUACUGUGAGGUGGAGCUAAUCCCAAAAAGCCGGUCUCAGUUCGGAUUGGGGUCUGCAACUCGACCCCAUGAAGUCGGAGUCGCUAGUAAUCGCAGAUCAGCAACGCUGCGGUGAAUACGUUCCCGGGCCUUGUACACACCGCCCGUCAAGUCACGAAAGUUGGUAACACCCGAAGCCGGUGGCCUAACCCCUUGUGGGAGGGAGCU